UUUGUGGAUCAUAAACUUCCUUGUGACUUUCAUUCUCACCCAGUUUUCAGUCGCACUGUGGAUGUUCUCUGUAUUUUUUCACAAUUUCACAGGAUUUAUUUCUUUAUUUUAUUUCUUUUCCUAUUUUAAUUCGGUGUGAGGAGACUUUAGAAAACUCGUUAUUUUUUAAAAUCUUUUUUGGUGACGUUUUUGAUUUGACAGGCUUUUACUUUUCUAUUCUCUCUAAAGGACUCAUACUUCAUUUUUUAAAAAUGAGAUUUAGAGGAUUUUGUCUAAAUACUGCGGAAACAAUGGGCAAUUUCUUCUUCUUGUGCUUUUGUCGUGUUUCCUGGAUACGGAAAAGAGCCGUGAUGUGUAGCGUCCUGAUUACAUCAUCUGAUUUGUUUCACAGUUUUUACAGUGAAUUCUUGUUAAAAAAAAACUCUAAACAUAAACUUUGUACACAGAGAUGAUGUUUAUACAAAAAAGAAGCAAAAGAGUGAUAGAGAAUGUAAAAGUCUCAGAUCUCAGUCACACCCUGAAAGCAACGUGAUCGCUGCUGGUUGUUGGACAGCUUUCUGCUCAACCAUCCGCAAUUUAGCGCUGUGGAAGAGGAUCAGAAACCUGUUCACGCGUCGAGGUGACGAUGUGAGACUGUCGGAGGAGGAAACGCUCCAGAGCUCAGUUCGGCCGUUCUUGUCGAACUACGGAAUCUGUUUUUAAAUAAAAAAGUGAUGAUAUAUAAAAACGCAUGUUGUGGACAUUACUUCAUCUAAUUAUUAAGUUCAUCAUUAAAGUAAACUAUAAAUGCUGCUGUUCAGUAACGUAAACACAGUAACUAACACUCAUAUUAACUACUUUCUUCCAAGCUGAAUAAUCAAAAUUAAACCCACACACAACAGUUCUCAACAGUUCUCUGUUCAGUUCUCUAUUCUGAUUGGUCAGAAGGUGUUGAUUAGUUUUCUAUAACAGCAGCUCUGACAGUAGCGCAGGCUAUGAUUCAAAUCAUAGGUUUAUAUUCAUUUUGUUAUUAAUGAACAGAAAGUGUGCAUGGUGCUGUAGGUUCGCUAUAAGGAGAUGUUUAUUUAACUCUUUAUUUAUGGAAGGAGUCUCCAGUGUCAGCGCUUUGUAACAGUCAGAGGUAAAGCUGAAACUUUUCCCGACAUCUUCAGGACAGAGGAGUUUACGCUUCUUUGCAGUUUCUUGGUGACAAGCUGUGUUUUGUUUUUUUUUUUGGUCAGGAACUUGUUCAUGAAGUUAUCAACAUACAGUAAAGUCACAUGCUGUAGUUUAAUCUGCUCAUCACUCAUCUCAAGUGACUCCGCACCUGUGGAAACUGCUCAGGUCUGUCCAUCUUCAGAUGAAAAGGAACGACUUGGAUGAUUUGGUUUAUGUCUGUAUUGUGGAAAUAAUGGACAGCUCCAAGCAACAUGCACCCUGACACCUGAAAACAGAGGACAGGAACAGGUGGGCCAAGUCAUUCCACCUAUAGUCCUGACUCAUUACAGUACUAUACUGUCCCUGAAACUCUAAUCUUCUCAGAUUCCCAUCACAACCAUUUAUAUUUUAUACUAAAUUUUAAUUCUAGUCCAAGCUAUGGACCUUACGGUUACUGUAAUGUCUUAUUGUCAUGUUUAAAUCUUGUUUUUUUUGGGAGUGAUGGGAGUAUUUAUGCUCUACUACCCCUCUGUUUACCCCCACGGUUUCCCA